rnacentral:rRNA from 1 species
UACAGAGGGUGCGAGCGUUGUUCGGAAUUAUUGGGCGUAAAGGGCGCGUAGGCGGUGCGGUAAGUCACCUGUGAAAAACUCUGGGCUCAACUCAGAGCCUGCAGGCGAAAACUGCCGUGCUUGAGUGUGGGAGAGGUGCGUGGAAUUCCCGGUGUAGCGGUGAAAAUGCGUAGAUAUCGGGAGGAACACCUGUGGCGAAAGCGGCGCACUGGACCACAACUGACGCUGAGGCGCGAAAGCUAGGGGAGCAAACAGG